CCUCCAUUUAUUGGUGGGGAUAGGGCUUGUGGUCCUGGUCCCUGUAAUGUACAGAAGUAGAGGGACAGGGCACUGGCCCCCUCUAAAUCAUGUCUUGGGUACCAGUGGCUUCCAUUCUGCCAGUUCUAUCCUCAAGCACCAGGACACAA
rnacentral:snoRNA from 1 species